rnacentral:lncRNA from 10 species
UAAUCACUAGGCAGGUUUUAUGGUCAAGCAUGACAGGGAGAAAUGUACAAAAUCAUUCUUUGUAGAAAGCUCAUUGUACAUAAACCAAGAAUAUUCCUUUUUGAUGGGUUUUCAUAAAACCUUCUGCAUAAAAUGCUUUCUUACUUCUUACUGAUAGCAUUCACUGAGAUAAGAUAUUGACACAGGAUAUUUUCACUGCUGCUUCACCAGCCAGAGACCUCCGUGGCCAGCAGCACCCCUGCUUGAAUUUUGCUUGCACCUGCUGGGUUUGUUCCACCCACUUGGGCUGGCAAACUGUACUUGGCUCAGCAUGCUAGCGGCCUAGAUCUCACGCCUGCCAACGGUGAGCCAGGCAUGUUGGUUGCUGUUGUGGGGAAAGCAGCUCCAGGUGCUGGCUCUGUGCGAGACUGCAGCUGGACCAGGUGUAUUGCAAGCAGCUUCUGCCUUGGGUGCUGGUGUUUGGAUGAGGGGAAUGUGGUAGCACCUGAAAAACUCAGAAAGGCCAGGAACCAUGGAGCCUCAAAGAGGGUGUUACAGUAUGUUACCACUCUGGCUUGGGGAGUCUUGAGGUCUGGGCCCCAGAAGGGUCGCAGCUCAUUUGUGUUACAGUUCAUUGGUUCCUGCCAUCCACACGUUUUGGAGAACAGCGGCAUGUCCCAGCUUGUUCGGUCCUGUUGCACCGCUCCGACCUGCAACUCCUGGGCUGGCCCGGUCCUGACACUGCUUCCUGUUAUGUAAGGUGACCACUAGACACAGUUCCACAUGGCUGGGGAUGCCUCACAGUCAUGGUGGAAGGUGAAAGGCAUGUCUCAUCUGGCGGCAGACAAGAGAAGAGAGCUUGUGCAGGGAAACUCCCCCUUAUAUAAUCAUCAGAUCUGUAUGACUUACUCACCAUCAUGAGAACAGCACAGGAAAGACUUGCCCCCAUGAUUCAAUUACCUCCCACCAGGUUCCUCCCACAACAUGUGGGAAUUCAAGAUGAAAUUUGGGUGGGAACACAGCCAAACCAUAUCAUUUAUGUUUUGGUAAUCCCUAAGUUAUUUAUUUAUAUUUUACAGUUCAUGAUUUGGGGCAUUCUUAUCUAAAAAUUACCAAAACAAAAUCACAGAGAUUGUAGAUUUUUUCCCUUUAUGCUCUUUUAAGAAGUAAAAUACUUUUAACAUCUACGCUUGAUUGAUCAAUUUCUAUGUCUGUUCUUAUAUCAACGUAACAGUGUAUUUAUUAGAAUAGCCUUAUCAAAGUCUUCCAGCCCAGGCAAUAUGGUGAGACUCCAUCUUUACAAAAAAUAGAAAUAACUCUCUGGGCUCACGCCUGCAGUCUCAGCACUUGGGAGCCUGAGGUGGGAAGAUCACUUGAGCCCAGGAGGUUGAGGCUGCAGUGAGUGGAGAUCACUCCACAUCAGCCUGGGUGACACAGCAAGACCCUGUCUCAAAAAGAAAACAAAAAACGUUUUGAAAUAAAGUCUUUAAAAUGUGUCCUUUAUUUUCGAAACUGUUUUGGCUAUUAAAGAUUCUUUUUAUUUCAUUUUUAAAAUUUAUGAUAGACAUACUAAUUGUACAUAUUUUUGAGUUAUAAUGUGUUUUUUUACAUGUACACAUUACACAACGAUCCAAUCUGGGUAAUUAACAUAUGCAUCACCUUAAACAUCAUUUCCUUGUAAUAAGAACAUUAAAGAACUUGUCCUAGUUAUUUUGAAAUGUACAAUACACUAUUGUUAAGUCUAGUCAUCCUACUGUACAAUAGGAAAACUGAACUUAUUCUUCCUAACUGUAACUUUGUAUUGAUUGACCAAUCUCUCCCCAUUCCCACCUCCUCUUUACCUUCUCCAUCCUCUAGUAACCACUAUUCUACUGUCUAUUUCUAAGAGAACAAAUUUAUAGUCUACAUAUAAAUAUGUGAAGUGAGAUAAUGAGAUAUUUGUCACUUUAAAAUCAAUAUGAAAAUUUUUACUGAAACCAAAACAAAGCAAAGCAAAACAAACAAAACAUAUAAAGAUUUUGGCUGGUAUUGUGUUGACUCCUUAGAUCAAUUUUAGGAUAAUAUAAAAAUAUUGUGUUUUCCAAUUUAUGAAGUUGGUAUAUCUCACCAUUUGUUCUCCUCUUUUGCAAUUUCUUACAACAGAAUAUCAUAUGUUUCAUUGUACAGGUCUUGUAUAUAUUUUGCUAAAUUCAUUCCUAAGUAUGUCAUGUUUUUAGUGCUAUUGUAAAUGGCAUUUUAAAAUUUUGUUUGCAGGUAUUAUUUGCCAGUAUAUAGAAAUAUAAUUGCAUUCACAUGGCCCUUUGCAACUUUAC